GAGAGAGGGUUUUUUCUCUCUCUUCUUUGUUUGAGACAGAGCAGUUUUUUCUGGGUAUGGAUAGAGACAGGCUUUCCCAGGAAUGGACUUCUUGAAAUGUAGGAGGAUUAAAGAAGUUGAAGGUACCCCAUAAUAAGAUUCUCAAAUGUCUUCCUGGGCUCUCAAAGGAGUUCUUGUAUUGGGUGGUGGCAGAGGUACCAUUCAAGGUCAGGAAACCUGUGAUCUUGGGCAGUCUUCAACUAGAAAUCUUUAGUGGUCCUGGAUUUCUACCACUAUAGGUCUGAGAUGGAUCACACAGAGGACACUUGAUGGAUGUAAGCCUUGCAAAAUUCAUGAUGCCAAAAUAUCAGAGAAUUCCAGUUUGUACAGGAAGAGACAGGUGGGCACACUGUUCUUCAGCAACAGGGAAAGAAUGGUGUAUCUGCUAACUAUUUCUCUGGAAUUCUUCCACUCUAUGCAGAACUAGCUGAUGAAGUUGUGCCCCGAAUUAUGAACCUGUUGUUGAUUCUGCAACUGCCUCAGCUGCCCAGUGAUAAUGGCUAAUUAUGGUCCUUAAAAGAGAUCAAAAUGCCUACUUGAUGUAAAAUGAUACCUCUUUUGAGGUUUGUUUUUUUUCAAAGACACAGCAAUUUCUUUUUGAUCUUAUCAUUAAAAUACAGAAAGACUUGCAGAACACACACUGGAGGUAGCCCAUUGUUUAACCCUUUUAUCACCAUGCUUACAGUUCCCUUGUGAAAGCAAGGUAAUUUAUUUGCACAACAUUAUUUUGUUAAUCAGCAUCCACUGAAUUUUAAUAAAAAGCAAAACAUAUUUUUAAAAAUGCAGUAGAGAUGUUAUCUCUUGACAACUCCUGUUUGUCAAGUGAUUGGGUAAAACUGUUUUAGUUAUACAUUCCAUUGCUACCGAUUGAUGAUGAAUGAGAGAGAUGUUCCUGCUGGGAUAUGGAAAUUUGAUCCUGAUGCCUCUGAACACAGGCACAGGUGAAUGAGGCCUGUGCUUUUUAUAAUAUCUGCCACCUCUCACUGACAAAUUAACUCUGGGCUGUAAAUCACUGAUGUUAGGAACACUACCCUAAAGUUACACUUGUUUCCGUGUUCCUUUGCGCCUUCAUAUGCAAUAUGAAGAGGGGAACAGAAUAUACCUUUUGAGAUGUCCAGGAAACUUUAUAACAAGUUCUUUCUUUUUUCUUUCAGACAUUAAUCUCUCUCUAAGCACCUUCUCUCCUUUACAGUUCUUUCUCCCCUUCUUCAAGACAGGAUGACAAGGAAGGGUAGAAGCAGGUCUGGGUUAAUGAAUAUCCAUUCAGUGUACUUGUCCAAGAUCCCAUUUUAGCUCCCUCCCCUCCAAGUUCCCUCUAAGCUGUGCAGCCAUCCAGCCACUCAGCUACCCAGGUCCAUCCUUAGGAUUUACAGGGCCCUAUGUAGUACUAUUAAGCUCGGCCCCUAUGACCCACAUGGCAGCCAGGGACGGGGAGGGACAAUGAUUUUUUAAGAGAUGUGAUUUUAUAAUCUUCAGCAACACACUCAUGAAAUAUUUUUAAAACAAAUUUUAAA